GAUAAACGCUAGCGGCAGGCUUAACACGUGCAAGUCGAGGGGCAGCAUAGAUUGUAGCAAUACAAUUGGUGGCGACCGGCGCACGGGUGCGUAACGCGUAUGCAACCUACCCGUCACAGGGGGAUAAUCCGGAGAAAUCUGGUCUAAUACCCCAUAACAUAUGGAUCGGCAUCGGUUCAUGUUGAAAUUUUCGGGGGUGACGGAUGGGCAUGCGUAGCAUUAGCUUGUUGGUGAGGUAACGGCUCACCAAGGCGACGAUGCUUAGGGGGACUGAGAGGUUUUCCCCCCACACUGGUACUGAGACACGGACAGACUCCUACGGGAGGCAGCAGUGAGGAAUAUUGGUCAAUGGGCGCAAGCCUGAACCAGCCAUGCCGCGUGCAGGAUGACGGCUCUAUGAGUUGUAAACUGCUUUUGUACGAGGGUAAAGUGGGUUACGUGUAACCUUUUGAAAGUAUCGUACGAAUAAGGAUCGGCUAACUCCGUGCCAGCCGCCGCUGUAA
rnacentral:rRNA from 1 species